rnacentral:rRNA from 1 species
GACGAACGCUGGCGGCGUGCUUAACACAUGCAAGUCGAACGGAAAGGCCCUGCUUUUGUGGGGUGCUCGAGUGGCGAACGGAUGAGUAACACGUGAGUAACCUGCCCUUGCCUUUGGGAUAACUUCAGGAAACUGGGGCUAAUACCGGAUAGGAGCUCCUGCUGCAUGGUGGGGGUUGGAAAGUUUCGGCGGUUGGGGAUGGACUCGCGGCUUAUCAGCCUGUUGGUGGGGUAGUGGCUUACCAAGGCUUUGACGGGUAGCCGGCCUGAGAGGGUGACCGGCACGAUUGGGACUGAGAUACGGCCCAGACUCCGACGGGAGGGAGCAGUGGGGAAAAGUGUACUAGGGGCGGGAGCCUUAUGCAGCAACGCCGCGUGCGGGAUGACGGCCUUCGGGUUGUGAAGCGCGUUUGCCUGUGACGAAGGGGGAGUGACGGUAAUGGGUAAAGAAGCACCGGCUAACUACGUG